rnacentral:misc_RNA from 1 species
CUGCCAUCACGUGUGAUCUAUGUGUAAGAAAUCUUUAUAAAACAUUCAUUAUAUUUUUUAAGGUUAAUACUUUUGGAUUUCAACUGAUACUGAUUUACUUUUAAAGUACCGCUUACUACAAGUAGAAUUAGACAUUGUGGUUAGACAUGAAUUCAGAUAAUGGGCAUUACUUAACCUUAAAUAAAGGUUUUGGGGGUACCUUUGAUUACCUCCAAUACGCCACCACUAUAUAUAUAUAUAUAGUAAUGGAUGUUACCGCCGAAAUGUAACUGUAAUGGCUGUUUAUCUAACAGCCAUUACCAUGUAAAAGGUAAUGUUUCAGUAGGCAGCAGGAUACAGCUGCUGACACUCCAAACCACAUAAGGGUAUAAAUAAACUGAAUCGAGUUGAGUCGAGUUGAGCUUUGAAGAGCUCAUGUGUGAUUUGUCAAAAUUUUUUCGAGCUAGCUAAACUUGUGUCAAGCUCGAGCUGAAUAUCCAGAAGCUCAAGCUUGGCUUGUUAAGAAAAUGAGCUCUAAAUGAGUUGAGCCAGGCUAGGCUUUUUUUCGAAAUGAGUUUCUAGCAGCUCGUGAGUAGCUCGACU